rnacentral:rRNA from 1 species
AGUGAACGCUGGCGGUAGGCCUAACACAUGCAAGUCGAACGGCAGCACAGUAAGAGCUUGCUCUUACGGGUGGCGAGUGGCGGACGGGUGAGGAAUACAUCGGAAUCUACUUUUUCGUGGGGGAUAACGUAGGGAAACUUACGCUAAUACCGCAUACGACCUACGGGUGAAAGCAGGGGAUCUUCGGACCUUGCGCGAUUGAAUGAGCCGAUGUCGGAUUAGCUAGUUGGCGGGGUAAAGGCCCACCAAGGCGACGAUCCGUAGCUGGUCUGAGAGGAUGAUCAGCCACACUGGAACUGAGACACGGUCCAGACCCCUACGGGAGGCAGCAGUGGGGAAUAUUGGACAAUGGGCGCAAGCCUGAGCCAGCCAUACCGCGUGGGUGAAGAAGGCCUUCGGGUUGUAAAGCCCUUUUGUUGGGAAAGAAAAGCAGCAGGUUAAUACCCCGCUGUUCUGACGGUACCCAAAGAAUAAGCACCGGCUAACUUCG